ACUGCAGUUCAGACGUGAGCUUCAUGCUGUGAUCCCAUAGUGUUUUCCAGCUAAUAGCUCCCAGCUAUAGUCAUCUGCAGGCAUCUGUUUACAAAAAAAAU